AAGCGUGCGCAGGCGGUUUUGUAAGACUGUCGUGAAAUCCCCGGGCCUCAACCUGGGAAUGGCGAUGGUGACUGCAAGGCUAGAGUUUGGCAGAGGGGGGUAGAAUUCCACGUGUAGCAGUGAAAUGCGUAGAUAUGUGGAGGAACACCGAUGGCGAAGGCAGCCCCCUGGGUCAAAACUGACGCUCAUGCACGAAAGCGUGGGGAGCAAACAGGAUUAGAUACCCGGGU
rnacentral:rRNA from 1 species